GGCAGUUUUCGUCGAUUUAAAAGUUGUACGACGAGUAUCAGCCAGCCCAUGGGUUGGUCACAGAAAAGCAAGAAACAGCUUGUCCUGGACAUCGGAGAGGCAGGUUUCAUACUGAAGGAAUGGGAGACAGACAGGCACACGUACAGCGACUUCAAGAAACUCCACCCGCCUGAAAUCCCACUCAACACGCCAGGCACGGCUGGUAAUAUCUACUCCCUCUGCCAGCGAGGUUCAGUCUCUUUAGCCGUAGCCAUCGGCAUGAACCAC